rnacentral:rRNA from 1 species
GAUGAACGCUGGCGGCGUGCCUAAUACAUGCAAGUCGAGCGAACAGGCGAGGAGCUUGCUCCUCUGACGUUAGCGGCGGACGGGUGAGUAACACGUGGAUAACCUACCUAUAAGACUGGGAUAACUUCGGGAAACCGGAGCUAAUACCGGAUAAUAUAUUGAACCGCAUGGUUCAAUAGUGAAAGACGGUUUUGCUGUCACUUAUAGAUGGAUCCGCGCCGCAUUAGCUAGUUGGUAAGGUAACGGCUUACCAAGGCAACGAUGCGUAGCCGACCUGAGAGGGUGAUCGGCCACACUGGAACUGAGACACGGUCCAGACUACUACGGGAGGCAGCAGUAGGGAAUCGUCCGCAAUGGGCGAAAGCCUGACGGAGCAACGCCGCGUGAGUGAUGAAGGUCUUCGGAUCGUAAAACUCUGUUAUUAGGGAAGAACAAAUGUGUAAGUAACUAUGCACGUCUUGACGGUACCUAAUCAGAAAGCCACGGCUAACUACGUG